UCGGUGGUUGAAUCAUCCGUCCCCACCAAUGCCAAAAACCAAAUCUACGCCCUUGGUUUGUGAACUAAAAAUUAAUCAUGUGGGAUACCGUUUGUACGUGCUUUAGAAAGCCAGGUUUGUGCUCCCUUGGCAUGGAAUUUAAGCUAUUAUAAAUGACUUGUUGACUUUAAAUCUGUCAAAAAUAAGUCAAUCAUAUCUCUCAUGAAGAACAUCAAGUAAUUUAGAGAUCAUUCCUAUCACAAAGUAAUUGCUACAAUCAAUUUUUGGCAAAGUAACUGUUAUAUAUCCUUUAUUUAGCCUGUUAAAAAGUAAUUGACAAAUAAAACGUUUAUUUCAAGAGAAAGCUAACCAAGAGCGCUGCAGAAAUAACAACUAUAACAUCACAGUUCUAUAAAGAAAAAGAACUGGAUUGAUGACAAUAUGGGUAUAAAUACGCAUAAAGUCAUAAAGAUACUUAGAAAGGAGAUCAUUUGUUUAUUUUAUAUACAACCCCUUCAUAAACCCCGUUGACUAAAUCUGUUUACUAAUAUAAGUAAAGACAGACGUAAAAAAGAAAAAUGUCGAAAAUCACUCUUUGGCAGACGCUCACCUCCCCUGCCAGCAAUCUUGCUCCCAUGUGGCAACCACAGAACCGGCACGAUGGUCCUUUGUGGAGAGUUCCAGCCGGCCCAGAUGGAGCGGAUUUGAUGCGUCACCAAACUGAGCUAAAAGGUUUUGUAGCACCAGGGUCUGCCACUCAGCCUGGGCCUGCAGGUCUUCCUGAUGAUGCCGGUGCUCUGCCUCUCGCUGCUGUUGCAAGGCCGCCAUGUUGGCCAUCAUUUGAACCAGCAUCUGAGCUAGCUGGAGGUUCUGCGGGUUUGACAUGUCGUAGCGGCAAACUAGGCACCACUGUAACACUCUGUUACUGAUCUCCGGUAUGACGCACAAGGAGACAGUUCUGCAUCACGUUUCAAUAAUUCUUUUUAUUCAGUUCACAACUCGCUUCACAUACUCGAACUCUCACUGGCUCACCUCUCUCACUCAGCAGCUACUAAAAUAGGAAGAAAGGUAAUCAUCCUGACAGGCAUCAGCCCUUUCUCCCACCCUCCCCUGCCACUGUCACCCUCCCCGCUGCUCCACCCCUCACCUGCAGCUAAACCACAAACCUCACCCAGCCACAAACUGACACAUUGUUAAUGUAAUUGGCGCACCAUAAUAAUUCUAAAAAAAAAUUCUGUAAGCAUUAAUGUAAGUGACAUUUUUUAGAAGAAAUGUUACAAAUGUUAUAGCAUUCAGUUAAUUAAUUUAUUUCUCUCUAGGCCCCCCACCCCUGCUUCCCUCCACCUGAAAAUAAGUAAAGCAUUAAGGCUUUUUAACUGGACAAUUGCUUAACCAUUCCUCUGAACCACCCUGACUCUCUUUUCCCACUUUUCCCCUCAACUCUUGAACCACAGUUUCCCCGUCAAGCUCAGCCACUCUAAGCUCCUGUUCCCAGCACUCUAGUCUGCAAACUCAUAGUUCAUGUUUAUUUGCUCUAGCCUAAUUCAUAGAGUUAGCUCUUGUUUACCUUGUUCUUACCAUGUCACUGUAAAUAAAGUUUUCUGGUCACUAUACUCUGAGCCUCCGUUUGAAUCUGCUCUUGGGUCCACUUCUUGUUUCUGUCUGCUAAAGGCAUGACAGGAGAAAUGUUUCAUCACUCAUCUAAGUGACUUCUUCAGUCUCAGCUGAACACGUUACUGCCGAUCUCUGGUGUUCACUCUGUGUUGUAGCGUCCUGAUGACACCCAGUUUGUGCCCCAGUGGAUGAUGAGAGCCAAACCUUAAAUACUGUUUAUAAGGUUGGGGAAACCUGCAGUAAGCUGUGCAGAGGUCUCUGCACAGGAAAAAGAAGUAAGACAAGAAAUUGAAACACAUGUUUUACAUUAAUGCUGUUUAGAUCCAGUGAUCAGUGGUUUAUUUAGUACUUCUUUAGCACUGGUAAAUCUCCAGCACAGACUAGGAAGGUGCAGCAGAAGCCAAAAAGCCCCACUACCAACUGAUGUGAAGCACAGCUGUGGAAUUGUAUUACUUUUUAAUUAAUUUUGUGUUUCCCUCAAUGAAAUUUCUCGAUGACUGUCCUCAGAAGUAUUUUUUUGUUUGUUUGUUUGUUUUUUUUAACAUACAUUCAUUAUUCUUUUCCUGGAGUCUUGAAGCAAAGCCAAGGACAAACUGUUUGUGCCCCAGGACAGUUUAAAUGUCAGGGGCAAGUCUGUACCGGUACAGAUUGUAAAACAUCUAUUAUAACACACCCAUUGCCUGAAGUCAUUUUCUGGAUAACCAUUCUUUUUCAGCACAUUGUCCACCAAGGUUUAAAUAUUUUUUAUUAUAAUUAAUUCUAAUUCUAACAUCAUUUGUCACAUAUUAAUAAAAGCAGCAGUCUUCAGACACAACCUGCGUUUGACGUAUAAACAAAGAUAUUUGUUUACACACUGGCAUGCUGUUACAUUAAUUGUAAGGGGCAAGUUUGUACUUGUCCAGUAAUUAUUGUACCAGUAUAGUACCAGUAAACAUUGUAGUCAUUCUUUCUUAGCUCAGUGUCUGCAAAACUUUAAACAUUUUUUGUCUUUAAUAGAUAAUUAAUUACAGUUCUAAAAUUAUUUUAGUCACAUAUUCAUAAAUGUAGUUGUCUUCAGACGCACCCUGCCUUUAAUGUAUUUAAAGUCAUCAUAGCGUGUUUUUCUUUUUUUUUCAGAAACACUCCAGAGGAGAGGGUAAGGCACUCUGAGAAACUGAAGUAGCAGCAGCGUGACACAAUAUGCCCUGACCUGUUAACUGGAGUUUUUACUCUUUAAAUGCAAACCUUUCACCACUAAGACUUUAGUCAGCGCUGCUGACCACACGAUGGUCCUUGAAUUAGCUUUGGAAAUUCACAUGAAUGUAUUCACGAGCAAAAACAGCAUCACGGUGCUGUUGGUUUGACUGUUGCCACUUGCCGAAAUAUUUUGUGUCAACAGCUGUUUCUUAAUGAAGGACAAAAUAAGUAGCUGUAGUUAAAUGUAAGUUAAAAGAAGCUAAAUUGAGUACUUUGUCUUUGUUAUCUGUCAUGUUUUUGUCAUGUGACUCAGGGCUUUUGUAUAAAUUAAUAUUAUCUUAUCCCUGUCCAUGUGUUUUCUCUAUUCGCUGUCUGCGUGGAUAUUAGCCAGGCCAGCUUCCGGGAGAAUGGUUCUGGCCCCUAUUUGUUUGCUUACAGGGCGAUGACGCGAGGGGAGCCGCGGUGGAGCAAUGGACUCCAGUGCAGAGUGCGCGCUGGGCUGGGACGUGAUGAGCCCAGUGGAGGGAAGAGAUGGGGAUAGGAGGCUUCUCCUUUUCUGCCUGGGACGAGGCUGGUGUGGACCCUGCUCUGAAGGAGGAAUUUCGGUCCUGCUUGUGAACACCUAACAAACAUUUAUCCUUUCUUGUGGGACAGUUACAUUGUGGGACAGGGUGGGAGUUUAGUGAGCACAGAACAUUGUGUUUUAUAUGUUUGGUUUUUUUUAUAUUGGGUUUGUUUAUUCCUGGGGAUUUUAGUACCUUGACAACAUUUUAUUGCUUGUUUUUAGAAUUGUUUGUCAUUCUUGCUCCCUGGUUUGGAAAUAAUCUGUUUCUGAUCAGAACUACAUCAUCUUUGUGCCCUGGGUUUCUAACUGGCGCACUCCCCCCUUUGGAUGAAAAGAACCAGCCUCUAUACUAAGACAUUCGCACCAGCAUGUCUACAUAUUCACGAACAAAAACAGCAUCACAGUGCUGUUGGUUUGACUGGUGCCACUCGCCAAAAUAAUUUGUGUCAACAACUGAUUGUCAAUGAAGGAAAAAAUAAGUAGCUGUAGUUAAAUGUAAGUCAAAAGAAGCUAAAUUGAAAACACUUAAAAACAGUUGUGUGCCUAAUUACUCUGGCUGUGUUAUCUGUCAUGUUUAAGCAUGCAUAUAUUUAAUAACAACUGCUUAUAGCUUUACAUCCAGUUUUACACAGACAGUCAGAUAAUUUAGUUGUGGUGAAAAUACAAUAUUUAAAGGUAUAUGAUUUAUUCAUUGCAUUUUUUCUUCAAGGGCUUUAAUUACCUGAUACAUGCUUAAACAUCAAGGUAAGUAAAUCCCAAAUGUACUGUUUGGGAAAACCUGCAGUCACUUGAGACUGAAGAAGUCACUUGGAUGAGUGACAAAACGUUUGUCCCACUGAAAACACGACGCCUAGAUGAACACAAUCAACCUUUUGUUUUCUUCUUUUUCUAUGCUGAAUUUUCAGUUCUCUGUGUCAUACCAAAGUGUUUUAGUAUUUGGUUUAAAUGCCUUAUGAAAAGGAAAAAAGAUACGGUCUCUGACAUCUUCAGUAUUCUGUUUAUUUUUUCAUAAACUAUAAACUACAUUCACUCCUACAGGAGAAAGCCAAGUGCCCCAAAGAGAGAGUGGCUCUUUCUGCUGCCACACAUCGGUCUCUGGACAGGAAAAAGAAGGUUGGUGAAUCUCCAGCACAGACUAGGAAGAUGCAGCAGAAGCCAAAAAGCCCCACUACCAACAGGUGUGAAACACGGCUGUGGGAUGUUAUUACUUUUUUGUUCAUUUUGCGUUUCCUUUUAUGCAAUUUCUGGAUUAUAUUCUCCAGAAGUUAUUUACAUACAUUCAGUAUUCCUUUCCUAUAGUCUUGAAGCCAAGCCAAGGAUAUACGGUUUGUGCCCCAGGACAGCUUAACCGUCAGGGGCAAGACUGCACUGGUACAUAUUGUAAAGCACCUUUUAUAACACAACCAUUUCCUGAAGUCAUUUUCUCAUGCUCUCUUCAUGCUCUUUACAUUAAUUCUUUCACAUUAAUGUGCUUCACACGACCACAGAUGCACAGCAGGCAUUCAGUAUGGACUUUGUUUCAGAAAUGACUCAAAAAAUAAAUUAAUAAGACCAAGAGAUAAAAUAGGAUGAAAAAUAAUAUAAGACAUUUUAUAGAUACAGGACAGAGAGAGAGACAAAAGCAAAAACAAUAUUUGGCCUGAAACUAGGUCAACCAAAGAGACACAGAGACUGACAUGAUUUAAAUUAUAUGGAAUUUAAUUCAUGAUACCGUUAAACUAAGUCAACUUAAGCCAUAAGUCUAUUAUUGAGCCAGUAAACAAGUUCAACAUGGUUUCAAACAAGGAUCCUACUUAGAUAUUUAAUUCUGGCGUCUGAUAAGGUAAUAAAGCCACAUAUGAACAGUGGUCAUGUUUAUUUUUCAAAAAUAGAUAAAAAUUAUUUACUGUAUUUACACAUCUUGUUUGGAAAUUAUUUGAAUUUACUCUGAAUACCACCACAAAUCCAGAGUGAAUAAGCAUGCCAACCAAAUUUUUUUCAGUCAUAUUUAAAGUAAUAAGAAUUUAAUUUUAAUCAUUUUUUACUUGGCAGAAUACAAACAUUCUUGAGCAAACCAAUCUGUAUUAUAUUCAACGGACUUGUCAAAUUCCAACAUUAAGCAGAAUAAGUCUCAUUUAUUGUUCUCAUCAGCCAUUAGACAAUAUUAUGAGGUGAUAUGAAGUUUUUAUCUCUGUAAUAGUAAUCUGUAUCAGGAUACAAUAAACCACAUUUAUCCACUCGCCCUGGAUUUUUAGCAUGAAUGCACAAAAUGUUUAUAUGUCACAAUAAUUUGCAUUUCAUUUUGAAUAGAGGUAAACUGACAUGUAUGAAAAUUACUUAGUGAAUACAAAGUUGGGAAAGGUAAGCUUGUGCCUGUUUACUAAUAAUUGCAUAAUCUAGGUCUGUUUCCUACAGGCACAUAUGGUAAUUAGUGAUAUAAUCCUACAUUGCACUGAUUACAUUAUGUCCACACUGUCACACCAAAAGAACGCUUAAGGAACUGAUCUCACACACAUAUGGAUAAAAUGACUCCAAACUGUUUAAAAAGCCAACCAUCAUGCAUUUACACCUAACAUCCUUCAAGAAGAAGGCUUUGAGCUGAGUUGUCCUUUCCACUUCCACAAAGAUAGUCCUUGAUGCACUGUCAGGAAUCAUCCUGCUGUCCUCUGCAUCACAUUAUCUGCUUGCACUGACUCAGCUUUCACUGAAACAUGAAUGGUAACCAACUAACUCAGAGGCUGAGAGGCUGCCAGGGUGUUUUUGAUGCCCCAAAUCAUUAUUGUCUCUUAUCAUUAACAGAAAUAAGAAUAUAUAUGUGUAUAUAUAUGUGUGUGUGUAUAUAUACUCCCCCCCCUAUUAUUUCACACAGAGAGACCACUUAUCCAGUGAAAGAACUAAAGCUAUGAAGUAUAUCAGACAACACCAUUUACUUCAAAUUGCUUAAAAUUUGGGAUCUCAGUGUUCUAUAUAUAUAUCUCAAGUAUGUCAAAAAACAAAAGGGAAUUGUUCUAAAAAAUAACCAUAACCUGAAAGAUGUUUUUCAUACAGGCCAGUAGAAUGAGGGAGGGUCUAAGCUUGUUAUUGUGUUAUCACUGUUCUUGUGUAAUUUACGAGGGGAUGGAACAUAAACCAUGGGCCUUUUUCAUUGUUUUGUUCAUUUCUUUUUAAAAUAAUCUGAGCUUUUGUGUCUGCUCUCCUGGUUUGCCAUUUAUCCUUCAACUAUGAACGGCUUUGAGUUAAAAGGGAAAAGGCUCUUUUCUUUUUAGUGCUUGUUUAUUUCGAGUUAUUGUCAUGUUUGUGAAAAUAAAUUUUUCAGUUGGAAAAA